UAAAAGGAGAUAAUUUUGGAGCUUUAAGAUUAGACUGCCCCGCUGGAUUGUGGACUCAUGGGGCCUGUAGUCCCUCUGUUUUGGCCAAUUUCUCCCAUUUGGAGUGAGUGAGUGUAUUUAUCCAAUACCUAUGUCCCCACUGUAUCUAGGAAGUAACUACAUUACUUUUGAUUUUACAGGCUCAUAGGCUGAAGGGACUGGCUGUGUCUCAGAUGAGACUUUGGACUGAGGACUUUUGAGUUAAUGCUGAAAUAAAUUAUGACUUUGGGAAACUGUUAAGAAGGCAUGAUUGGUUUUGAAAGAGACUGGAAGCCCAAGCUGAAGGUGUCAGUGGAGUCAAUAUCUGGUGAGUGCUUUCUUUGUGGGUUGAAGAUGGCCUUCUUGUUGUGCUCUCAUAUUGUAGAGAAAAAGAUCUCUCUCUUUCUCUUCUUAGAAAAAAUAAGACCAGAGCCCUAUUGAAUUUGAGCUCUACCCUUAUGAUCUUACUUAACCUUAAUUACCUCCUAAAGACUGUAUUUCCACAUAUAGUCACAUUGCAGGUUAAAACUUCCACAUAUAUAUUUGGGGGGAAUAUAAUUUAGUCCAUAGCAGGGAGUAUGAUUUCUAACAAUAGUAAGGCUUCCAAUACAUGGACAUGGGAUAUCUUUCUUUCUUCUUUCUUUUGUCUCACUCUGUCACCAGGCUGGAGUGCAAUGGCACAAUUUUGGCUCACCGAAACCUCCAACUUUCUGGUUCAAGCAAUUCUCCUGCCUCAUCCUCCCAAGUAGCUGGGAUUUGAGGUAUGCACCACCACACCCAGCUAAGUUUUGUAUUUUUAGUAGAGAUGGGUUUUCACCAGGUUGUCCAGGAAGGUCUUGAUCUCCUGAACUCAGCCUCCCAAUGUGCUGGGAUUACAGGCAUGAACCACCAAGCCCAAACUUAAAGUUCUCUUUAAUUUAUUUCAACAAUGUUUUGUAGUUUUUAGUAUACAGGUCUUACACUUUUUUUGUAAAUUUAUAGCUAAGUAUUUUAUUCUGUUUCAUGCUAUUGUAAAUGAAUUGUUUUUGUAAUUUCAGUUCAGAUUUUCUUUUUGAAUGCACAGGAAUACAACUGAUUUUAAUAUCUUGUAUUUCAUAAUCUUGUUUAUUACUUCUAAUUGUUCUUUUUAGUGUCUUAUAAUCAAAAUCUUAAUUAUGCCAUCUGAAAUUAGCUAGUUUAUGUCUUCCUUUCAAGCAGUUCCAACUAUUUACUUCUUUGUUUGUUUUCCUUUCCUGCCCCACUUUCUGUUAUUCCAUUAUUUUUUAGAUUUUAUCUUAAUUUUCCUGUUGAAUUUGUAGUUAUUGUUUAUUAUUUCAUUUUUAUAGGGGUGCCUUAGCGAAUUCAAUAUACAUCCAUAACUUUCACAGUGUAGUUAUAGUUACAAUGAACUACUUGGCAUAAAAAAUAGAAAUAUCACUACUUUGUAAAUUUAUGUCUAUAUCUCAUAAUUGCAUAUGUGGUAUACCAAAAUAUAUCAUAAAUUUUAUAAGACAAUGUUAUAAUAAAAUUAUAAACAGUUAUAUGAUGUCUUAGUCAGUUUUUCUCUUUGUUUAUUGAGAACCUUGAAUGUGUAAACUUUUGCCUUUUUUCACAUUUGGAAAUAUUUCUAUCAUUAUUUCCUUGCAUACUUUAAAUUGGUCUUUCUUCUUCUUUUAGUAAUUACAGUUACAUGUAUAUUUGAC
ensembl:lncRNA